AUGAACGCUGGCGGCGUGCCUAAUACAUGCAAGUCGAGCGAACAGACGAGGAGCUUGCUCCUCUGACGUUAGCGGCGGACAGGUGAGUAACACGUGGAUAACCUACCUAUAAGACUGGGAUAACUUCGGGAAACCGGAGCUAAUACCGGAUAAUAUAUUGAACCGCAUGGUUCAAUAGUGAAAGACGGUUUUGCUGUCACUUAUAGAUGGAUCCGCGCCGCAUUAGCUAGUUGGUAAGGUAACGGCUUACCAAGGCAACGAUGCGUAGCCGACCUGAGAGGGUGAUCGGCCACACUGGAACUGAGACACGGUCCAGACUCCUACGGGAGGCAGCAGUAGGGAAUCUUCCGCAAUGGGCGAAAGCCUGACGGAGCAACGCCGCGUGAGUGAUGAAGGUCUUCGGAUCGUAAAACUCUGUUAUUAGGGAAGAACAAAUGUGUAAGUAACUAUGCACGUCUUGACGGUACCUAAUCAGAAAGCCACGGCUAACUACGUG
rnacentral:rRNA from 1 species